rnacentral:rRNA from 1 species
UGGGGAAUUUUGGACAAUGGGCGAAAGCCUGAUCCAGCAAUGCCGCGUGUGUGAAGAAGGCCUUCGGGUUGUAAAGCACUUUUGUCCGGAAAGAAAUCCUUGGCUCUAAUACAGUCGGGGGAUGACGGUACCGGAAGAAUAAGCACCGGCUAACUACGUGCCAGCAGCCGCGGUAAUACGUAGGGUGCAAGCGUUAAUCGGAAUUACUGGGCGUAAAGCGUGCGCAGGCGGUUUGCUAAGACCGAUGUGAAAUCCCCGGGCUCAACCUGGGAACUGCAUUGGUGACUGGCAGGCUAGAGUAUGGCAGAGGGGGGUAGAAUUCCACGUGUAGCAGUGAAAUGCGUAGAGAUGUGGAGGAAUACCGAUGGCGAAGGCAGCCCCCUGGGCCAAUACUGACGCUCAUGCACGAAAGCGUGGGGGAGCAAAACAGGAUUAGAUACCCUGGUAGUCCACGCCCUAAACGAUGUCAACUAGUUGUUGGGGAUUCAUUCCUUAGUAACGUAGCUAACGCGUGAAGUUGACCGCCUGGGGGAGUACGGUCGCAAGAUUAAAACUUAAAGGAAUUGACGGGGUCAUAGCUGUUUCCU